GACGAACGCUGGCGGCGUGCUUAACACAUGCAAGUCGAACGGUAAGGCCCUUCGGGGUGCACGAGUGGCGAACGGGUGAGUAACACGUGGGUGAUCUGCCCUGCACUUCGGGAUAAGCCUGGGAAACUGGGUCUAAUACCGGAUAGGACUCCGGACUGCAUGGUCUGGGGUGGAAAGCUUUUGCGGUGUGGGAUGGGCCCGCGGCCUAUCAGCUUGUUGGUGGGGUGAUGGCCUACCAAGGCGACGACGGGUAGCCGGCCUGAGAGGGUGACCGGCCACACUGGGACUGGGAUACGGCCCAGACUCGUACGGGAGGCAGCAGUGGGGAAUAUUGCACAAUGGGCGCAAGCCUGAUGCAGCGACGCCGCGUGAGGGAUGACGGCCUUCGGGUUGUAAACCUCUUUCAGCACAGACGAAGCGCAAGUGACGGUAUGUGCAGAAGAAGGACCGGCCAACUACGUGCCAGCCGCCGCGGUAA
rnacentral:rRNA from 1 species